rnacentral:rRNA from 1 species
CCUACGGGAGGCUGCAGUGGGGAAUAUUGGACAAUGGGGGGAACCCUGAUCCAGCCAUGCCGCGUGUGUGAAGAAGGCCCUCGGGUUGUAAAGCACUUUCAGUGAGGAAGAACGCCUGGUGGUUAAUACCCAUCAGGAAAGACAUCACUCACAGAAGAAGCACCGGCUAACUCCGUGCCAGCAGCCGCGGUAAUACGGAGGGUGCGAGCGUUAAUCGGAAUUACUGGGCGUAAAGCGCGCGUAGGUGGCUUGAUAAGCCGGUUGUGAAAGCCCCGGGCUCAACCUGGGAACGGCAUCCGGAACUGUCAAGCUAGAGUGCAGGAGAGGAAGGUAGAAUUCCCGGUGUAGCGGUGAAAUACGUAGAGAUCGGGAGGAAUACCAGUGGCGAAGGCGGCCUUCUGGACUGACACUGACACUGAGGUGCGAAAGCGUGGGUAGCAAACAGGAUUAGAUACCCGAGUAGUC